AAACAAAAAAAAUCAAAACUUUUAACAAUGGAUCUCUUGGUUCUCGCAUCGAUGAAGAAGCAGCA
rnacentral:rRNA from 1 species